UAGGAAGUGGUGUAGUCGGAAGCACUAAGAGUUUUGAUCUCUUGAGUAUAGGUUCAAAUCCUAUUUUUCUAG
rnacentral:tRNA from 1 species